CAGCUGUCUGGGGGAAAAUAUGUAAGCAGGCGAUUGGACCAAGAGGGAAAUAAAAGAAGUUGAUGUUAGAGGAGAACGGAGGAAGGAUUUGUGGGGAGGCAGCAGUGACACAGCAAGCAAGGAAUCGGAGGCAGAGAGAGACUGGAUUAAUUUGAGAUAAGUGUCUGGUUAUUCUGGUUCAUAGUUAUUCUAUGAAGAAGCACUGCGUUGACAUACUGUUGAAGUUCAUGACUCUCUGUCUAGUUGCUGAGGAUGGAUGUUUGGGAAUGACACAACAGCGAGAGCCCUGUUUUGUAUCAACGCAUGGAGAGAACAUCAGUUGGGGUUGUUGUGUGGGCCCGUACUCUGCUUUAAGGAUUUGAGUGAAGAGCCUGCUAAAGCUGUGAAGUGCACAUACCUCUCUCCAUUCUCUGUCGGAGUCCACCGAAGAACCUGCUGAAGCAGUGAAGUAUACGUACCCUCCAUUCUGUCUGAACCCAGUGAAGAGCCUGUUAACGGACCCCGUGACAUAUGGAAUUGAGUAUCCACUGACUCGACCAUUCAUAUUGAAUCUGUGCUGAAGUACUGUAGAGUCACUGAACUGGUGCUGAAACCCCACUGAGCCACGGAACGGAGACAGCCACUGAUGAUAUCCAGCCUGUGAACUCUAGGAACGGAGUUACCACCAAGCCGUCGCCAUCUGGUGCCGUAGCCAUUCGGGCUGUAUUCACCUUACUGUGUUGGUAGUGGAGGAGGGGAACUAGAGCCACACACACCAUCAUUCAGUCUCUAGGGAGGAAGCUCGUACUGCUUUUAGAGAC
ensembl:lncRNA